rnacentral:rRNA from 1 species
GAUGAACGCUGGCGGCGUGCCUAAUACAUGCAAGUCGAGCGAACAGACGAGGAGCUUGCUCCUCUGACGUUAGCGGCGGACGGGUGAGUAACACGUGGAUAACCUACCUAUAAGACUGGGAUAACUUCGGGAAACCGGAGCUAAUACCGGAUAAUAUAUUGAACCGCAUGGUUCAAUAGUGAAAGACGGUUUUGCUGUCACUUAUAGAUGGAUCCGCGCCGCAUUAGCUAGUUGGUAAGGUAACGGCUUACCAAGGAAACGAUGCGUAGCCGACCUGAGAGGGUGAUCGGCCACACUAGAACUGAAACACGGUCCAGACUCCUAGGGGAGGCAGCAGGAGGGAAUCUUCCGCAAUGGGCGAAAGCCUGACGGAGCAACGCCGCGUGAGUGAUGAAGGUCUUCGGAUCGUAAAACUCUGUUAUUAGGGAAGAACAAAUGUGUAAGUAACUAUGCACGUCUUGACGGUACCUAAACAGAAAGCCACGGCUAACUACGUG